rnacentral:rRNA from 1 species
UACGGGGGGAGCAAGCGUUGUUCGGAUUUACUGGGCGUAAAGGGCGCGUAGGCGGUCAGCACAAGUCAGUUGUGAAAUCCCCGGGCUCAACCCGGGAACUGCUUCUGAUACUGGCGGACUUGAGGCCGGUAGGGGUCACUGGAACUGACGGUGGAGCGGUGAAAUGCGUAGAUAUCGUCAGGAACGCCGGUGGUGAAGACGGGUGACUUGGCCGGUUCUGACACUGAGGCACGAAAGCGUGGGGAGCGAACGGG